rnacentral:rRNA from 1 species
CUUCGGCGUCACCUACAGAUGGAUCCGCGGUGCAUUACUUACUUGGUGGGGUAAAGGCCUACCAAGACAAUGAUGCAUAGCCGAGUUGAGAGACUGAUCGGCCACAUUGGGACUGAGACACGGACCAAACUCAAACGGGAGGCUGCAGUAGGGAAUCUUCCACAAUGGGCGAAAGCCUGAUGGAGCAACGCCGCGUGUGUGAUGAAGGCUUUCGGGUCGUAAAGCACUGUUGUAUGGGAAGAACAGCUAGAAUAGGAAAUGAUUUUAGUUUGACGGUACCAUACCAGAAAGGGACGGCUAAAUACGUGCCAGCAGCCGCGGUAAUACGUAUGUCCCGAGCGUUAUCCGGAUUUAUUGGGCGUAAAGCGAGCGCAGACGGUUUAUUAAGUCUGAUGUGAAGGCCCGGAGCUCAACUCCGGAAUGGCAUUGGAAACUGGUUAACUUGAGUGCAGUAGAGGUAAGUGGAACUCCAUGUGUAGCGGUGGAAUGCGUAGAUAUAUGGAAGAACACCAGUGGCGAAGGCGGCUUACUGGACUGCAACUGACGUUGAGGCUCGAAAGUGUGGGUAGCAAACAGGAUUAGAUACCCUGGUUAGUCCACACCGUAAACGAUGAACACUAGGUGUUAGGAGGUUUCCGCCUCUUAGUGCCGAAGCUAACGCAUUAAGUGUUCCGCCUGGGGGAGUACGACCGCAAGGUUGAAACUCAAAGGAAAUUGACGGGGACCCGCACAAGCGGUGGAGCAUGUGGUUUAAUUCGAAGCAACGCGAAGAACCUUACCAGGUCUUGACAUCCUUUGAAGCUUUUAGAGAUAGAAGUGUUCUCUUCGGAGACAAAGUGACAGGUGGUGCAUGGUCGUCGUCAGCUCGUGUCGUGAGAUGUUGGGUUAAGUCCCGCAACGAGCGCAACCCUUAUUGUUAGUUGCCAGCAUUCAGAUGGGCACUCUAGCGAGACUGCCGGUGACAAACCGGAGGAAGGCGGGGACGACGUCAGAUCAUCAUGCCCCUUAUGACCUGGGCUACACACGUGCUACAAUGGCGUAUACAACGAGUUGCCAGCCCGCGAGGGUGAGCUAAUCUCUUAAAGUGCGUCUCAGUUCGGAUUGU